rfam:Triticum aestivum genome assembly, contig: Triticum_aestivum_CS42_TGACv1_scaffold_513813_6BS
GUAGUACUCUCUCCGUCCGGAAAUACUUGUCGAAGAAAUAACUAAAAAUAGAUGUAUCUAGAACUAAAAUACGUCUAGGUACACUCAUUUCUCUGACAAGUAUUUUUUGAAUGGAGGAAGUACAAG